GAUUUUGUAGUGGCGGUGGUGGCAGUGGCAGUGGUGGUGGUGGUGGCUAGGUAGGACAGACACAACACACACUUAACCUACACUAUUCACUCGUACGUUUGGCAGCCACACUCAUACCCACAAGGCACCAGGCGACAGGAUACACUCGCAGGGAGGAGAAAGAGCCAAGUUAACUGUGUGCCUUGUGCCUUGUGGCUGCCAUGGGAAUAGUACAGUAUGUUGUCUGUUAUCCUGGACUUAACUUCAAGCCCCUUACGACAGACGAAGAGGAGAGAGGAAAGACGGAAACAAGUAAAGACAGGUGCAGCAGUGGCCGACGCAGGAGAGGAGGAGAAUGCGGAAAGAAAAAAAAAUAAAUAUUGGGCGUAUUUCAUUUGGACGAAAUAAUCUCUUUGUUACUCUAUCAGUUAAAAAGGAGGGGCGCUGGCCAAGGGAACAACAAGAUCGAAAAAAAAAAAAAACAGCCCACUAGAAAGACCAACUGAAUGAAAAAAAAAAAAGACCCAUUAAACAAAAAAAUUACCCACUAAACAAGAAAGAAGAUACUUAAUGAAAUGUACGUGACUAAACUAAAUUUACCUGGAGAAGCCCCCAUCACCAGAGCACAGUUCAAAACAUAAAACACCGAAAUUUUGUUCACUUGAUCACCACCACCAUCACAACCACCACCACCACCGCCACCAGUGCAGCCGUGUGGACUGGACAGCUGUGUGGGUGUCGGGACAGUCAGGCAACUGCACCCAAGCCGCCACGCGCAUGCUCAAGACUAAGCAAGGAAAGAACAACGCACGUGGGACGGAGGGAAGUAGCUGGACCGCUCUUCACCGCACCAACUUUGUGAGUAUACGCCGCCUGUGCUGUAAUACCCACACCGCAGCGACCGUGGCCUGAGAGGUGAUGCCAGAGGACGUAAAGCAAGAGGAGGAGUGAAGAUGAGGUGAGAAAAUGAAGGAUAUGAGAGGAAAUUGUGUGUGGAUCUCCGUCUCGCCACCACCAUCACCGCUUCUGCCGCUACCGCCCUCCAUCACAGCUGUUUUUUUACUGCAGUGUGGCCAGACCUUGGGACCCACCAGCGUGAAGAGAGGGCCACACGCCGGUCUGCUUCCUCCAGUGACUGGGUGCCAAGUGUGGGAAUAAGGUGGCUGUGGCUGCAGUGUGGCCUGGGAGCACCUAGAGGAUUUCUGUGGCAGUGAUGUUACUAAAGUAACGAGUAGUACCUCUCAGAGCGUCCGGAGAAGAAAAACUGCCACACCAAAUUGCACCAAAAAUUACAAAAAUAAAUAAAUAAAAAAACAAACAAACUCAAGUUCAAGGAGGGAGAGUCUAACUCUUAAACCACACAAGUGCUGUUAACCGGCAACCAGCCAAUCUACUACAGUGUUGUGGUGGUGGUGGUGGUGUCUACGGUCUUUCCGCGUGUUCCUCUUGUUUGUGGCGAUGGUGGUGGUCAGUGCUCUCCUUGUUCACGUUAUCGUAGCGUUUGAUUUCUUCCUCCUCGUCUGGUCAGCUGGUCGGUUCCUUCUCCUGCGUGGGAUAGACAAGCGGUACAGUAGUAAGCAAUGUUGAAAGGCUGUGUAUAUCUUCCUACCUACAACACUGAAGUUUCGUGGCAAAUAUUAAUAAAAUAACUGAACUGUAUAUUGUUUUCGAAUAAAAUUAUUAAACGUC